AAGUCGUAACAAGGUUUCCGUAGGUGAACCUGCGGAAGGAUCAUUAAUGAAUGAAUGUAGAGAAGGUUGUAGCUGGCCUCCCCGAGGCAUGUGCACGCUUUUUCUUUCAUCCACACACCCCCUGUGCACUUGUGAGACGGAGGCGUUUUCCUUUAACCGGGAUGGGCCUCCGUCUACUUUAACAUAAAAUCUAAUUUAUUUAAAACUGAAUGUAAUUGAUGUAACGCAUCUAAUACAAAGUUUCAACAACGGAUCUCUUGGCUCUC
rnacentral:misc_RNA from 1 species